rnacentral:misc_RNA from 1 species
GCUACUACCGAUUGAAUGGUUUAGUGAGGACUCCUGAUUGGCGCCGCCGCCCCGGCAACGGAGCAGCGGACUGCCGAGAAGUUGUUCAAACUUGAUCAUUUAGAGGAAGUAAAAGUCGUAACAAGGUUUCCGUAGGUGAACCUGCAGAAGGAUCAUCUGCAGGUUCACCUACGGCUACCUUGUUACGACUUCACCCCAGUCGCUGACCUGACCGUGGCCGGCUGCCUCCUAAAAGGUUAGCGCACCGUCUUCGGGUCAAGCCAACUCCCAUGGUGUGACGGGCGGUGUGUACUUGGCGGA